rnacentral:rRNA from 1 species
GACGAACGCUGGCGGCGUGCCUAAUACAUGCAAGUAGAACGCACAGUUUAUACCGUAGCUUGCUACACCAUAGACUGUGAGUUGCGAACGGGUGAGUAACGCGUAGGUAACCUGCCUGGUAGCGGGGGAUAACUAUUGGAAACGAUAGCUAAUACCGCAUAAUAUUGAUUAUUGCAUGAUAAUUAAUUGAAAGGUGCAAUUGCACCACUACCAGAUGGACCUGCGUUGUAUUAGCUAGUAGGGGAGGUAACGGCCCACCUAGGCGACGAUACAUAGCCGACCUGAGAGGGUGAUCGGCCACCCUGGGACUGGGACACGGCCCAGACUCCUGCGGGAGGCAGCAGUAGGGAAUCUUCGGCAAUGGACGAAAGUCUGACCGAGCAACGCCGCGUGAGUGAAGAAGGUUUUCGGAUCGUAAAGCUCUGUUGUAAGAGAAGAACGGGUGUGAGAGUGGAAAGUUCACACUGUGACGGUAUCUUACCAGAAAGGGACGGCUAACUACGUG